GACGAACGCUGGCGGCGUGCUUAACACAUGCAAGUCGAACGGAAAGGCCCUGCUUUUGUGGGGUGCUCGAGUGGCGAACGGGUGAGUAAAACGUGAGUAACCUGCCCUUGACUUUGGGAUAACUUCAGGAAACUGGGGCUAAUGCCGGAUAGGAGCUCCUGCAGCAUGGUGGGGGUUGGAAAGUUUCGGCGGUUGGGGAUGGACUCGCGGCUUAUCAGCUUGUUGGUGGGGUAGUGGCUUACCAAGGGUUUGACGGGUAGCCGGCCUGAGAGGGUGACCGGGCACAUUGGGACUGAGAGACGGACCAGAAGCCUACGGGAGGCAACAGGGGGGAAUAUUGCACAAUGGGCGGAAGCCUGAUGCAGCAACGCCGCGUGCGGGAUGACGGCCUUCGGGUUGUAAACCGCUUUCGCCUGUGACGAAGCGUGAGUGACGGUAAUGGGUAAAGAAGCACCGGCUAACUACGUG
rnacentral:rRNA from 1 species